rnacentral:lncRNA from 1 species
CCCAAACCAGAUAUAUUAACUGCUCUCAGAUCUUAAUGUAUACAUAAAUCCUCCUUUUAUUCAUCUGUUACACAACAGUUUCCUGCUGAGUCUUGACCAAUCAAGGAGACAAGACAUGAAGAGAAGGAGACAAAACAUGAAGAGAAUGUUUGCUCUUCCAAAAUUAAUUACAUGCUCUUCCACUUUGCACCACAAUUGACUAGUUUCAUAUAUGCAUUCUUAAAAUCUUCAAAGAACAUAUUCUGAUCGUCUGCAUAUUUUGUGAUCCACCU